CUCUGCGGGGCACCUGAUCAGCAUGCCGCGUGUGUGAAGAAGGCCUUCGGGUUGUAAAGCACUUUUAUCGGGAACGAAACAUUGUCGGUGAAUAUCCGGCAAGACUGACGGUACCCGAGGAAUAAGCACCGGCUAACUUCGUGCCAGCAGCCGCGGUAAUACGAAGGGUGCAAGCGUUACUCGGAAUUACUGGGCGUAAAGGGUGCGUAGGUGGUUUUUUAAGUCUGCUGUGAAAUCCCCGGGCUCAACCUGGGAAUGGCAGUGGAUACUGGAAAGCUGGAGUGCGGUAGAGGGUAGUGGAAUUCCCGGUGUAGCAGUGAAAUGCGUAGAGAUCGGAAGGAACACCAGUGGA
rnacentral:rRNA from 1 species